GACGAACGCUGGCGGCGUGCUUAACACAUGCAAGUCGAACGAUGAAGCCGGAGCUUGCUCUGGUGAAUUAGUGGCGAACGGGUGAGUAACACGUGAGUAACCUGCCCUUGACUCUGGGAUAACUGCUAGAAAUGGUAGCUAAUACCGGAUACGACCCUAGGAGGCAUCUCCAGGGGGUGGAAAGCAUUUCGGUCAAGGAUGGACUCUCGGCCUAUCAGCUAGUUGGUAAGUUAACGGCUCACAAAGGCGACGACGGGUAGCCGGCCUGCGAGGGUGACCGGCCACACUGGGACUGAGACACGGCCCAGACUCCUACGGGAGGCAGCAGUGGGGAAUAUUGCACAAUGGGCGCAAGCCUGAUGCAGCAACGCCGCGUGAGGGAUGACGGCCUUCGGGUUGUAAACCUCUUUUAGUAGGGAAGAAGCGAAAGUGACGGUACCUGCAGAAAAAGCACCGGCUAACUACGUGCCAGCAGCCGCCGUAA
rnacentral:rRNA from 1 species